GGGUUGUGAGGUUAAGCGACUAAGCGUACACGGUGGAUGCCCUGGCAGUCAGAGGCGAUGAAGGGCGUGCUAAUCUGCGAUAAGCGCCGGUAAGGUGAUAUGAACCGUUAUAACCGGCGAUACCCGAAUGGGGAAACCCAGUGUGACUCGUCACACUAUCAUUAACUGAAUCCAUAGGUUAAUGAGGCGAACCGGGGGAACUGAAACAUCUAAGUACCCCGAGGAAAAGAAAUCAACCGAGAUUCCCCCAGUAGCGGCGAGCGAACGGGGAGGAGCCCAGAGCCUGAAUCAGCAUGUGUGUUAGUGGAAGCGUCUGGAAAGACGCGCGAUACAGGGUGACAGCCCCGUACACAAAAGCGCAUGUGUUGUGAGCUCGAUGAGUAGGGCGGGACACGUGGUAUCCUGUCUGAAUAUGGGGGGACCAUCCUCCAAGGCUAAAUACUCCUGACUGACCGAUAGUGAACCAGUACCGUGAGGGAAAGGCGAAAAGAACCCCGGCGAGGGGAGUGAAAAAGAACCUGAAACCGUGUACGUACAAGCAGUGGGAGCACCCUUUGGGUGUGACUGCGUACCUUUUGUAUAAUGGGUCAGCGACUUAUAUUCUGUAGCAAGGUUAACCGAAUAGGGGAGCCGGAGGGAAACCGAGUCUUAAUUGGGCGUUAAGUUGCAGGGUAUAGACCCGAAACCCGGUGAUCUAGCCAUGGGCAGGUUGAAGGUUGGGUAACACUAACUGGAGGACCGAACCGACUAAUGUUGAAAAAUUAGCGGAUGACCUGUGGCU
rnacentral:rRNA from 1 species